GUGAUGGCCCUGGAGACUGAAGUACUCUGUUUAUUCACAGAAUAAAACAGCAGUGCCACUGUAAGUUUCUUCAUACUACCUGCUAAUGUUUUUUCACCCUUAGAGGACAUCAGGGCUGAACUGUAGCUCAUGCAGCAAUAGGACCAUUCAAUCCUUGGCCUCU
ensembl:misc_RNA